rnacentral:misc_RNA from 1 species
ACAACGCUCAAGUUAUUUUUUAGCAAGAUUUAUUGUUGAUGAGGUUGCAUUGUAACCUAAUUGAAUAGACCGGUU